rnacentral:rRNA from 1 species
UACGUAGGGUGCGAGCGUUGUCCGGAAUUACUGGGCGUAAAGCGUGCGCAGGCGGCUUCUCAAGUCAGGGGUGAAAGCCCAGAGCUCAACUCUGGAAUUGCCUUUGAGACUGAGUGGCUUGAGUACGAGAGAGGUGAGUGGAAUUCCCAGUGUAGAGGUGAAAUUCGUAGAUAUUGGGAAGAACACCGGUGGCGAAGGCGGCUCACUGGCUCGUAACUGACGCUCAUGCACGACAGCGUGGGGAUCAAACAGG